rnacentral:pre_miRNA from 1 species
AUAAUACUCCCUCCGUCCCAAAAUUCUUGUCUUAACUUUGUCUAGAUAUGAAUGUACCUAGUCACAUUUUAGUAUUUAAAUACAUUCAUUUCUAGACAAACUUAAGACAAGAAUUUUGGGAAGGAGGAAGUAGCAU